rnacentral:RNase_P_RNA from 1 species
GUGUGGCAGCGCGGGAUGCAAGAUCCCGUGAGGAAAGUCCGAGCACCAUAGAGCAGGGUAGCUGCUAACGGCAGCCGAAGGCGACUUCAGGGAAAGUGCAACAGAGAGAUUCUGCCUAAGCGGCCGGCUUAGGCCGCCGGCGAUGGUGGAAAGGCGGGGUAAGAGCCCACCAGGGUAAUGGAGACAUUGCCGCUAUGUAAACCCUAUCCGGUGCAACGUCGGUUUGGUAGGCACGGUUCAUACGGCUGCUCGCCGGAGCCGCGCUUGAAAGACGGCUGGAGCUGCAUGGCGACAUGCAGUCGAGAUAGAUUGUCACGUAAACAGAACUCGGCUUAUAGAC